GCUGGGCUAAAUGGGGCAGAGGCCGGGAGGGGUGGGGGUUCCCCGCGCCGCAGCCAUGGAGCAGCUUCGCGCCGCCGCCCGUCUGCAGAUUGUUCUGGGCCACCUCGGCCGCCCCUCGGCCGGGGCUGUCGUAGCUCAUCCCACUUCAGGGACUAUUUCCUCUGCCAGUUUCCAUCCUCAACAAUUCCAGUAUACUCUGGAUAAUAACGUUCUAACCCUGGAACAGAGAAAAUUUUAUGAAGAAAAUGGGUUUCUAGUAAUCAAAAAUCUUGUACCUGAUGCCGAUAUUCAACGCUUUCGGUACAGUAACACUAUUUGUUAUUUUACAAUAGUAUGUAUUGUGUGCAUGUAAUGAGAAUACAAGGUGGAUUCGCUCCUGGCUUUACAGAUGUUUUUUAAUGAUUUGGUUUGUUGGGAAGUGUUUAGAAGCAUGGGCUCUGGUGCCAGACUGGCUUUUUAUUUUUUAUAGAGAAAGGUUCUCACUCUGUUGUGUAGGCUGAGUGCAGUGGUGCGAUCAUAGCUUACUGCGGCCUCAAGUUCCUGGGCUCAAGCAAUCCUCUUGCCUCAG
rnacentral:lncRNA from 1 species